rnacentral:rRNA from 1 species
UACAGAGGGUGCGAGCGUUGUUCGGAAUUACUGGGCGUAAAGCGCGCGCAGGCGGUCCUUUAAGUCAGGGGUGAAAGCCCAGAGCUCAACUCUGGAACUGCCUUUGAAACUAGAGGACUUGGGUACGGGAGAGGUGAGUGGAAUUCCGAGUGUAGAGGUGAAAUUCGUAGAUAUUCGGAAGAACACCAGUGGCGAAGGCGGCUCACUGGCCCGUUACCGACGCUCAGGCGCGACAGCGUGGGGAGCAAACAGG